rnacentral:tRNA from 1 species
GGGGGUCUAGCUCAUAUGGUAGAGCGCUCGCUUCGCAUAAUGCGAGAGGCACUGGGAUCGAUACCCAGGUCCUCC